CCUACGGGGGGCAGCAGUGAGGAAUAUUGGUCAAUGGGAGAGAUCCUGAACCAGCCAAGCCGCGUGAGGGAAGAAGGCUCUCCGGGUUGUAAACCUCUUUUGUCGGAGAACAAAACCCGGGACGAGUCCCGGACUGCGUGUAUCCGAAGAAAAAGCAUCGGCUAACUUCGUGCCAGCAGCCGCGGUAAUACGGAGGAUGCGAGCGUUAUCCGGAUUUAUUGGGUUUAAAGGGUGCGUAGGCGGUCUGUUAAGUCAGCGGUAAAAGUGCGGGGCUCAACCCCGGCGAGCCGUGGAAACUGGCGGACUUGAGUUGGCGAGAAGUACGCGGAAUGCGCGGUGUAGCGGUGAAAUGCAUAGAUAUCGCGCAGAACUCCGAUUGCGAAGGCAGCGUACCGGCGCCAGACUGACGCUGAGGCACGAAAGCGUGGGGAUCGAACAGGAUUAGAUACCCGAGUAGUC
rnacentral:rRNA from 1 species